UCCCCUGUGAGCUGAAGCUACUGCUGUUGGAGCUUGCCGGAGUUAAUCGCUGAAGCUGCGGCUGCGCUGUACUUUAGUUCCUUGCUGGUACAAGUGACUAUGGUUGCUGCAAAAGUGGUUUGGAACUGCGGUUGUGGCUGCCGCCGUGAUGAGCCGGGGGAAAAAGGGAUUCAACACAUUUAAUUAUGUGAAUUGCGAAUAAUUGAGGAACCGGAUGAAGAAGCAUUAAGAAGAGUUAUACUGCAUUUGGUUUAU